rnacentral:lncRNA from 1 species
GCAUGGCAAAUAUAUCAAUUAGCCACCAUAUAUUACAAACAUCUGCAUUAACUCAACGUUUACACGCUUAAAGAUUGUCUACCACAUUUUCAGUACAGUGUUUGGCCAUGGAGAUGGCAAAAUANNNNNNNNNNUCUACCACAUUUUCAGUACAGUGUUUGGCCAUGGAGAUGGCAAAAUAGACGUAAGAUCACACAGGCCAUCAAUUUAGUCUGUCUUCCUACUAUAAGAACAUAGGACGACCUCUUGAAUGAUGCAAAGAAGACUAAAGACGGUAAGAGAUUAGAAGAAAC